UAAUGAAUGGAAUGCAGAGAUUGAUCGUUUAUAAUUGGGCGCUUUAACGAUCGGGAGCAAGUAGCGCAACCGGCCAGCACAGAC
rnacentral:ncRNA from 2 species